rnacentral:rRNA from 1 species
AGGACGAACGCUGGCGGCGUGCUUAACACAUGCAAGUCGAGCGACGGCCCUUCCUUCGGGAAGGUGCCCUAGCGGCGAACGGGUGAGUAACACGUGGGCAACCUGCCCUAGCACUGGGAUAACUCCGGGAAACCGGGCUAAUACCGGAUACGACCAUCGAGGGCAUCCUCUUUGGUAGUAAAGGAUUCUGGCUAGGGGAUGGGCCCGCGGCCUAUCAGCUUGGUUGGUGGGGUAAUGGCCUACCAAGGCGACGACGGGUA